rnacentral:rRNA from 1 species
CCUACGGGUGGCAGCAGUGAGGAAUAUUGGUCAAUGGACGCAAGUCUGAACCAGCCAUGCCGCGUGCAGGAAGACGGCUCUAUGAGUUGUAAACUGCUUUUGUACGAGGGUAAACGCAGAUACGCGUAUCUGUCUGAAAGUAUCGUACGAAUAAGGAUCGGCUAACUCCGUGCCAGCAGCCGCGGUAAUACGGAGGAUUCAAGCGUUAUCCGGAUUUAUUGGGGUUAAAGGGUGCGUAGGUGGUCGGAUAAGUUAGAGGUGAAAUCCCGAGGCUCAACUUCGGAAUUGCCUCUGAUACUGUUAGGCUAGAGAGUAGUAGCGGUAGGCGGAAUGUAUGGUGUAGCGGUGAAAUGCGUAGAGAUCAUACAGAACACCGGUUGCGAAGGCAGCUUACCAAGCUACUUCUGACGUUGAGGCACGAAAGCGUGGGGAGCAAACAGGAUUAGAUACCCUGGUAGUC